UGUGGUGGAACUGGAAUACACAAUGGACUUUUAUCUGUGUUAAUAUACACAUAUUAUAUGAGAAUUUGAUAUUUUAAAAGAAAUAAAAAAAUAAGAAGAUAAUUUACAAUUCUGAAGUUUAUUAAUCAAACUCCAAAGACUUUAAAAUAAAAAUGUGAUUAAUAUAAAGUCAAAAUUUAUAAAACCAAACUAAAUAAAAAGUCUUAAAAUAUUUUGAAGGCCCAUUUUUUGAGGGUUCGAGCCCCUCCAU